GGUAAUUCCACAACCCUAAGACAAUGGAAAAAGCUAACAGCUUAAUGUAAAUAAUAAACGCAGAGUUAAAAGUUACCUCACAGAUGCAGAUGCAAGAUGGAUCUUUCACCUAAAAUCAGGUUCCAAAGUCAAGACUGAUGACAUCACACACACCAAGAAGUGGCUUUGAGGAGCACUGGUCAAGUAUUUUGUAAAUUGGAAUUUGUCUGGCAUUGUUUUCCAUGGAUAACUGGACUUAUGAAUUUUGGAGAGAAAGACUAGGGAAUGAAUCAAUGGCUUACAAGUUUGUCCACUGGGGAAAUACAUCUGAUUUUUGGAUACACACAUGGAAGCACAUAUAUAUAUUUGAAUACACUCAUAUCACCACAAAUUAAUAAUCAGUAAUUGGUAACUAUAAAUCCAGUCUAAGUCUGAAAGCAAACCAAAUGCCUGUCAGCAUGAGACCAGAUAAACACACUGUGGUAAAACCUCAUGAUGUAGUACUAUUCAGAAAUCUGGAGAAACCACUACUGAAACAUGUGACAACAUGGAUGGGUCUCUCAAACACUAAAAGAAGCACAAGGAAACUCUGCAGCAAAAGAAAUGUGUUGUGCCUUGUCAAAUGUAUUGAGCUGAAUAUGUAGAAUCUAUGCAUUUUGUUGGAUAAAAAUUAAAAAAAAUAAA